GGUGCUCGGGGUGGGCCUUUUUGUUUGUUUGUUCUUUUUUUUACUGUCUUGUUUUUUUGGCCGCAGUAAAGAAAUGGAAUGGGAAGCGGCGGCCGAGAGCACCCCGUGGCCAGUAAUCAGUCCAUUUCUUCGUCUAUCUCUCUGUUCUUUCUCUGUAAAAAAGCCAAAGAUCUCUGCGGUGGAACGAAAGAAAUCGCCUUUGCUCUUGAACGGCCAGUGAGAGCCUGGGCGAUGCUGCUAGUGGAGUACUUAGAGAUUAAUUAGGAUCUUUGGCCGAGAAGAUCUGGAAUAGUAUUGAGCAAAAGAGAUGGCUUGUGGAGUUUGUUUGAACCAUUGCAACUAUGAUAGUGAGGGAAGCGGUUUCAGCAUGUAUGUAUGGGAGCACUUCAAAAACGCAGGGGUUGUGCCAUGCAAUGAAAGGGUCCGUUUCAACAACAUGAUGGGAGCGAAGUGCACAGACACUCACAUGGAUGACGAAGGAUGCGACCCUGAGCAAAAGAAAUGCAAAAGGCAAAGAGCAAUGUGUUGAAGAUAUAGAGUCAGAAGAGGGAGGAUAUCAUGUAGAGUACACGGAAGUGUCGGAGGGCUUGCCUACACUGGUUUGUAACCUCUAAAUAUAUUCAUAUUUUUUCUAGAGUUUUAGUAGUUGAUACAGGACGUUAACUAGGAAAAACAUGAUCUUUAACUUGUUGUGUUGCCUUGUCUCCAUGCUUUUUGCUGUAGUUUUAAAAUAGCUAAUGCAUGAAUUUUGUUAACUAGCUACUUGGUGUCUAUGUAAGUUGCUAGUUGACUUGCUGAAAAAACAUCCAUAAGUUCCUGUGAUCAA